rnacentral:rRNA from 1 species
GCAGUAAGCCAUGAGAGUCGACAUAGCAAUAUGUGGCAUACGGCUCAGUAACACAUAGUCAACAUGCCCAGGGGACGUGAAUAACCUCGGGAAGUAUAGGAUAAGCCGCGAUAUGUCAUCACGUGAGGAAUGGGUAAUGACUUAAACGUAUAUGGCCCGUGGAUUGGAUAGCGGCCGAUCAGGCUGUUGGCGAGGUAAUGACCCACCAAACCUGUAACCGGUUCGGGCUGUGAGAGGAGGAGCCCGGAGAUGGGCAAUGAGACAAGGGCCCAGGCCCUAUGGGGCGCAGCAGGCGCGAAACCUAUGCAAUAGGCGAAAGCUUGACAGGGUUACUCUGAGUGAUUUCCGUUAAGGAGAUCUUUUGGCACCUCUAAAAAUGGUGCAGAAUAAGGGGUGGGCAAGUAUGGUGUCAGCCGCGGCGGUAAUGCCAGCACCCCGAGUGGUCGGGAUGUUUAUUGGGCCUAAAGCAUCCGUAGCCGGUUCUACAAGUCCUCCGUUAAAUCCACGUGAUUAACAGAUGGGCUGCGGAAGAUACUAUAGAGUUAGGAGGCGGGAGAGGCAAGCGGUACUCGACGGGUAGGGGUAAAAUCCGUUGAUCCAUUGAAGACCACCAGUGGCGAGGGCGGCUUGCCAGAACGCGCUUGACGGUGAGGGAUGAAAGAUGGGGGAGCAAACCGGAUUAGAUACCCGGGUAGUCCCAGCUGUAAACGAUGCAGACUCGGUGAUGAAUUGGCUUACUGGUAAUUCAGUGCCGCAGGGAAGCCGUUAAGUUUCCCGCCUGGGGAGUACGGUCGCAAGACGGAAACUUACAGGAAUUGGCGGGGGAGCAC